UAGCUACUUGAGUUGUUACAUUAGAAA
rnacentral:piRNA from 1 species